AGUGAACGCUGGCGGUAGGCCUAACACAUGCAAGUCGAACGGCGGCACAGUAAGAGCUUGCUCUUACGGGUGGCGAGUGGCGGACGGGUGAGGAAUACAUCGGAAUCUACUUUUUCGUGGGGGAUAACGUAGGGAAACUUACGCUAAUACCGCAUACGACCUACGGGUGAAAGCAGGGGAUCUUCGGACCUUGCGCGAUUGAAUGAGCCGAUGUCGGAUUAGCUAGUUGGCGGGGUAAAGGCCCACCAAGGCGACGAUCCGUAGCUGGUCUGAGAGGAUGAUCAGCCACACUGGAACUGAGACACGGUCCAGACUCCUACGGGUGGCAGCAGUGGGGAAUAUUGGACAAUGGGCGCAAGCCUGAUCCAGCCAUACCGCGUGGGUGAAGAAGGCCUUCGGGUUGUAAAGCCCUUUUGUUGGGAAAGAAAAGCAGCAGGUUAAUACCCCGCUGUUCUGACGGUACCCAAAGAAUAAGCACCGGCUAACUUCGUG
rnacentral:rRNA from 1 species